GCUGAGGUACGAAAGCAUGGGGAGCAAACAGGAUUAGAUACCCUGGUAGUCCAUGCCGUAAACGAUGUCUACUAGCCGUUGGGGCCCUUGAGGCUUUAGUGGCGCAGCUAACGCGAUAAGUAGACCGCCUGGGGAGUACGGUCGCAAGACUAAAACUCAAAUGAAUUGACGGGGGCCCGCACAAGCGGUGGAGCAUGUGGUUUAAUUCGAUGCAAGCGAAGAACCUUACCUGGCCUUGACAUACAGAGAACUUUCCAGAGAUGGAUUGGUGCCUUCGGGAACUCUGAUACAGGUGCUGCAUGGCUGUCGUCAGCUCGUGUCGUGAGAUGUUGGGUUAAGUCCCGCAACGGGCGCAACCCUUUUCCUUAUUUGCCAGCACUUCGGGUGGGAACUUUAAGGAUACUGCCAGUGACAAACUGGAGGAAGGCGGGGACGACGUCAAGUCAUCAUGGCCCUUAC
rnacentral:rRNA from 1 species